CAAACACACCAACGUUCUGAACUUUCAGGUGGAAACCACUGACGUGCCAAAAUUGCAACCAGGGCUGCAGGAGUCCUGCAGGCACACCCCAGUCGAUGGGCAGCCUGGUGCCAGCUGCCCAGCAGCCUGAAGCACAGCUCCAAAAUUAGAUGAGCCUGACCAUGCAGAUCCCCUAGCAGCUGGACAUUGGCUGCAGAGAAGUGGUGCUGCCAGAAAGCGCCUUCAUAAAAUGCUGUCAUUUUCGGGACACCCAGAGAAAGCACGCUAAAAGCUCUCAAACUGAUAGGCAUUAACGACAGGCAGGGCUUAUCCAAGCAGCUAAUGGGGUUUAAGUGGGAUAAGCCCAGGCCGACAGUGGCAGAUCCCAUCGGUCAAACACCUGGACAGAAAUACCUGCACCACACAGCCCCGGUGUUAUUGGCUCAGCACGAACCACAAGAGGCGUGAUGCAGUCCAGCAGGAUUAGUGGAAACCUCCACCUGCGAGAAUUUAGGUUGGGAGUGACAAUGUGUUCGGGACUGUUGGUGAAAGCCUCAGCCAUCUGUUACCCCUACUAAGAAGGGAAGACAAGAGAGACACAGGGCAACAGAGAGCACUGAGCUUUGUGGCUUUUCCAAGCCUCCAGGAUCAUCACUCACCUCAAGGGCAGCCAAGAAACAUUCCUGCACACUGGACCCUCAGUGUAAAGGGGAAAGGCCUGAAAGGGAAUGGGGGCAGCACAUCUCCCUGAAGGAUGGAGAGAGGUGACAAAGGUGGAGAUUCACAGAUAAAGGUAUCAUUCUGCCUACAAAUCCUUUCACUUUAUUUUAGUAGAGAAACCAGUACCCACCAAAGCAGACCUUACAGCCCAUCAUCCUCAGGCCUUCACUUUUGGGUUGAAGAAAUCAAUCCCCAGGCGUAGGCUCCAAGAGAUGUGCAUGCAACACAGAUGCUUAAUUUACUCCUCCAAAUAUGCAAAGAACAUGGCUCUGUGCAAUAAACAUCACUAAGAGCAUGGCUGAAGACCAGGAAAAUGAAUCGAUAAAGCUGCUGUUUUUCUGGAUAACACAUGGACUUUUUAAACCUGAAAUUAUUCUCCUUUCGGAUUACGGGAUUUUGUCAUCAGGGCCACUUCCAGGAAGUGGGAGGUGAUAGCAAAACACGGGGCUAAAAUUACGAAUAGAGGAGCGUUACCGUUUGCCCAUUUUGAAAUGAAAUGAGAGUGUAGGAGCUGCCACGUGCUGCCCACGGGCUCGUGGUGUGGCCAUACCUACUGACACUGGGCAAUCCUAAAUCACAGCGGCGUUACUGGGAGCUGGCUGAGAGCCAUUCAGAGAGGUCUGUCCAAGUCAGUCCCCUCCUGACACCACAAGAGGCCACGAGA